UACGGGAGGCAGCAGUGGGGAAUAUUGCACAAUGGGCGGAAGCCUGAUGCAGCAACGCCGCGUGCGGGAUGACGGCCUUCGGGUUGUAAACCGCUUUCGCCUGUGACGAAGCGUGAGUGACGGUAAUGGGUAAAGAAGCACCGGCUAACUACGUGCCAGCAGCCGCGGUGAUACGUAGGGUGCGAGCGUUGUCCGGAUUUAUUGGGCGUAAAGGGCUCGUAGGUGGUUGAUCGCGUCGGAAGUGUAAUCUUGGGGCUUAACCCUGAGCGUGCUUUCGAUACGGGUUGACUUGAGGAAGGUAGGGGAGAAUGGAAUUCCUGGUGGAGCGGUGGAAUGCGCAGAUAUCAGGAGGAACACCAGUGGCGAAGGCGGUUCUCUGGGCCUUUCCUGACGCUGAGGAGCGAAAGCGUGGGGAGCGAACAGGCUUAGAUACCCUGGUAGUGCCACGCUGUAAGACGGUGGGUACUAGGUGUGGGGUCCAUUCCACGGGUUCCGU
rnacentral:rRNA from 1 species